rnacentral:rRNA from 1 species
GAUGAACGCUGGCGGCGUGCCUAAUACAUGCAAGUCGAGCGAACAGACGAGGAGCUUGCUCCUCUGACGUUAGCGGCGGACGGGUGAGUAACACGUGGAUAACCUACCUAUAAGACUGGGAUAACUUCGGGAAACCGGAUCUAAUACCGGAUAAUAUAUUGAACCGCAUGGUUCAAUAGUGAAAGACGGCUUUGCUGUCACUUAUAGAUGGAUCCGCGCCGAAUUAUCUAGUUGGUAAGGUAACGGCUUACCAAGGCAACGAUGCGUAGCCGAACUGAGAGGGUGAUCGGCCACACUGGAACUGAGACACGGUCCAGACUCCUACGGGAGGCAGCAGUAGGGAAUCUUCCGCAAUGGGCGAAAGCCUGACGGAGCAACGCCGCGUGAGUGAUGAAGGUCUUCGGAUCGUAAAACUCUGUUAUUAGGGAAGAACAAAUGUGUAAGUAACUAUGCACGUCUUGACGGUACCUAAUCAGAAAGCCACGGCUAACUACGUG